UCCCGAGUGGUCUAGUGGUUACGAUGCCUGCCUUUUAUUCUAUGAUACAGCGGGAGACCGAGGUUCGAGUCCUCGCCUGGGGC